UCGGCGUCCGUUGCUCGGUUCCGGGCGUCCGUUCGACCUGCGGGGGACUGUCGUCAGUGCCCGCUGACCGCGGACGUUCGGCGAUCGGGACACCGGGGCGUCGGGCUCGGGGUCGGUGGCGAAUCGGUCGGUCACCUGUCCGACCCGUCUUGUAACACGGGACCAAGGAGUCUAACAUGUGCGCGAGUCCAUUGGGGUGUUACGAAACCUAGAGGCGCAGUGAAAGCAAAGGCCGAUCCUCGCGGUCGGCUCGGGUAGGGAUCCCCCGGUCGUCGGCGGCCGGGGCGCACUACCGGCCCGUCUCGAACACGCCGUUGUUGAGGCGGAGCAAGAGCGUACACGUUGGGACCCGAAAGAUGGUGAACUAUGCCCGAGUAGGACGAAGCCAGAGGAAACUCUGGUCGGAGGUCCGCAGCGAUUCUGACGUGCAAAUCGAUCGUCAAACUUGGGUAUAGGGGGCGAAAGACUAAUCGAACCAUCUAGUAGCUGGUUCCUGCCGAA
rnacentral:rRNA from 1 species